rnacentral:rRNA from 1 species
UACGUAGGGUGCGAGCGUUAAUCGGAAUUACUGGGCGUAAAGCGUGCGCAGGCGGUUUGCUAAGACCGAUGUGAAAUCCCCGGGCUUAACCUGGGAACUGCAUUGGUGACUGGCAGGCUAGAGUAUGGCAGAGGGGGGUAGAAUUCCACGUGUAGCAGUGAAAUGCGUAGAGAUGUGGAGGAAUACCGAUGGCGAAGGCAGCCCCCUGGGCCAAUACUGACGCUCAUGCACGAAAGCGUGGGAGCAAACAGG